rnacentral:rRNA from 1 species
CCCAGACAGCCAGGAUGUUGGCUUAGAAGCAGCCAUCAUUUAAAGAAAGCGUAAUAGCUCACUGGUCGAGUCGGCCUGCGCGGAAGAUGUAACGGGGCUAAACCAUGCACCGAAGCUGCGGCAGCGAACGUAUCACCCAAGACAACUUUACGGAGUUGACGAUUGACGGAGCGAAGCGACGUCAAAGCGUUCAUUAAAGUCGAGUUGGCUUAGGGAUACGUUCGUUGGGUAGGGGAGCGUUCUGUAAGCCUGUGAAGGUGGCCUGUGAGGGUUGCUGGAGGUAUCAGAAGUGCGAAUGCUGACAUAAGUAACGAUAAAGCGGGUGAAAAGCCCGCUCGCCGGAAGACCAAGGGUUCCUGUCCAACGUUAAUCGGGGCAGGGUGAGUCGACCCCUAAGGCGAGGCCGAAAGGCGUAGUCGAUGGGAAACGGGUUAAUAUUCCCGUACUUGGUGUUACUGCGAAGGGGGGACGGAGAAGGCUAUGUUGGCCGGGCGACGGUUGUCCCGGUUUAAGCGUGUAGGUGUGUGUUCCAGGUAAAUCCGGUUCACUUUAACACUGAGGCGUGACGACGAGGCACUACGGUGCUGAAGCAACAAAUGCCCUGCUUCCAGGAAAAGCCUCUAAGCAUCAGGUAACAUCAAAUCGUACCCCAAACCGACACAGGUGGUCAGGUAGAGAAUACCAAGGCGCUUGA